rnacentral:rRNA from 1 species
UACGAAGGGGGCUAGCGUUGCUCGGAAUCACUGGGCGUAAAGGGUGCGUAGGCGGGUCUUUAAGUCAGGGGGGAAAUCCUGGAGCUCAACUCCAGAACUGCCUUUGAUACUGAGGAUCUUGAGUUCGGGAAAGGUGAGUGGAACUGCGAGUGUAGAGGUGAAAUUCGUAGAUAUUCGCAAGAACACCAGUGGCGAAGGCGGCUCACUGGCCCGAUACUGACGCUGAGGCACGAAAGCGUGGGGAGCAAACAGG